rnacentral:rRNA from 1 species
AACGAACGCUGGCGGCAGGCCUAACACAUGCAAGUCGAGCGAGGACUUCGGUUCUAGCGGCGGACGGGUGAGUAACGCGUGGGAAUGUGCCCUUCUCUACGGAAUAGCCCUGGGAAACUGGGAGUAAUACCGUAUACGCCCUAUUGGGGAAAGAUUUAUCGGAGAAGGAUCAGCCCGCGUUGGAUUAGGUAGUUGGUGGGGUAAUGGCCUACCAAGCCGACGAUCCAUAGCUGGUUUGAGAGGAUGAUCAGCCACACUGGGACUGAGACACGGCCCAGACUCCUACGGGAGGCAGCAGUGGGGAAUCUUAGACAAUGGGGGCAACCCUGAUCUAGCCAUGCCGCGGGAGUGAUGAAGGCCUUAGGGUUGUAAAGCUCUUUCAGCUGGGAAGAUAAUGACGGUACCAGCAGAAGAAGCCCCGGCUAACUCCGUG